rnacentral:rRNA from 1 species
GUGGGGAAUAUUGGGCAAUGGGCGAGAGCCUGAACCAGCCAAGUCGCGUGAAGGAAGAAGGAUCUAUGGUUCGUAAACUUCUUUUGCAGGGGAAUAAAGUGCAGGACGUGUCCUGUUUUGUAUGUACCCUGAGAAUAAGGAUCGGCUAACUCCGUGCCAGCAGCCGCGGUAAUACGGAGGAUCCGAGCGUUAUCCGGAUUUAUUGGGUUUAAAGGGUGCGUAGGUGGUUUGAUAAGUCAGCGGUGAAAGUUUGCAGCUUAACUGUAAAAAUGCAGUUGAAACUGGCGGACUUGAGUGUAAAUGAGGUAGGCGGAAUGCGUGGUGUAGCGGUGAAAUGCAUAGAUAUCACGCAGAACUCCGAUUGCGAAGGCAGCUUACUAAGCUACAACUGACACUGAAGCACGAAAGCGUGGGGAUCAAACAGGAUUAGAUACCCCAGUAGUCC